ACACGGGGGGCGCAAGCGUUAUUCGGAAUUAUUGGGUUUAAAGGGUGCGCAGGCGGCCUUAUAAGUCAGUGGUGAAAUCUCCCGGCUCAACCGGGAAACUGCCAUUGAUACUGUAAGGCUAGAAUACAGACGAGGUAGGCGGAAUGUAGCAUGUAGCGGUGAAAUGCUUAGAUAUGCUACAGAACACCGAUCGCGAAGGCAGCUUACCAGACUGUAAUUGACGCUAAGGCACGAAAGCGUGGGGAGCGAACAGGAUUAGAAACCCCGGUAGUCC
rnacentral:rRNA from 1 species